rnacentral:rRNA from 1 species
UACGGGGGGAGCAAGCGUUGUUCGGAUUUACUGGGCGUAAAGGGCGCGUAGGCGGCCAGCACAAGUCAGUUGUGAAAUCUCCGGGCUUAACUCGGAAAGGUCAACUGAUACUGUGCGGCUAGAGUGCAGAAGGGGCAACUGGAAUUCUCGGUGUAGCGGUGAAAUGCGUAGAUAUCGAGAGGAACACCUGCGGCGAAGGCGGGUUGCUGGGCUGACACUGACGCUGAUGCGCGAAAGCCAGGGGAGCGAACGGGAUUAGAGUACCC